CAAUAUUACCAGCCAGGCACGGUAGAGCACACCUGUAAUUCUAGCACUUUGAGAGACUCAGGUGGGAGGAUUGCUUGAAGCCAGGAGUUCAAGAGCAGCCUGGACAACAUAGUGAGAUCCUGUCUCUACAAAAAAUAACAAAAUUAGCCAGGCAUGAUGGCACACACAGUCCCAGCUACUUGGGAGGCUGAGGUGGGAAGAUCAUUUGAGCCUAGGAGUUGGAGGCUACAGUGAGCUAUAAUGCCACUGCACUCCAGCCUGAAAAAACAGGGCAAGACCAUUUCUGAAAAAAAAAAAAAAAAAAAAAAAAUAAUAAUAAUAAUAAUAAUAAUAAUAAAAUAAAUUUUUAAAAAGGAUAUUACCAAGGAUACAGAUGAAGAGAUAUGUAGGGUGAGGGAUCACUUGAGGUCAGGAGUUCGAGACCAGCCUGGCCAACAUGGUGAAACCCCAUGUCUACUAAAAAUACAAAAAUUAGCUGGACAUGGUGGCGGGUGCCUGUAAUCCCAGCUACUCAGGAGGCUGAGGCAGGAGAAUUGCUUGAACCCAAGAGGCAGAGGUUACAGUGAGCCAAGAUUGUACCACUGCACUCCAGACUGGGCAACAGAGUGAGACUGGGAAAAAAAAAAGUUAUCUUUCUAGGAGAAAAUCUGCUUUGGUUGGUUCAACAGUAAGAACUGACUUUGCCAGUUAAGCUGUGGUAGAUAUGUUCACU
rnacentral:lncRNA from 1 species